UACGUAGGGGGCGAGCGUUGUCCGGAUUUAUUGGGCGUAAAGAGCGUGUAGGCGGUUUGGUAGGUCCGCUGUGAAAACUCGAGGCUCAACCUCGAGACGCCGGGGGAAACCAUCAGACUAGAGUCCGGAAGAGGAGAGUGGAAUUCCUGGUGUAGCGGUGAAAUGCGCAGAUAUCAGGAAGAACACCCGUGGCUAAGGCGGCUCGCUAGGACGGUACUGACGCUGAGACGCGAAAGCGUGGGGAGCGAACAGG
rnacentral:rRNA from 1 species